UCGAUUUGCUAGUAUCUUGUUGAGAAUUUUUGCAUCCAUGUUCAUCAGAGAUAUUGGUCUGUAAUUCUCCUUUUUAGUGGGGUCUUUGUUUGGUUUGGGAAUCAAGGUAAUGCUUGCUUCACAGAAUGAGUCUGGAAGCUUUCCUUCCAUUUCUACUUUUUGGAAUAGCUUGAGAAGAAUAGGUAUUAACUCUGCUUUAAAUGUCUGGUAGAAUUUCCCUGGAAAGCCAUUGGACUCAGGACUCUUAUUUGAUAACUGAUUCAGUUUCUUCACCAGAAAUGGGUCUGUUCAAAUUUUCUGUUUCUUCCCAUUUGAGUUUUGGUAGUGUGUGAGUUUCUAGGAAUUUGUCCAUUUCUUCCAGAUUGUCCAGUUUGUUGGCAUGUAUUUUUUCAUAGUGUUCUAGUAAUUGUAUUUCUGUGUUGUUGGUUGUGAUCUCUCCUCUUUCAUUCGUGAUUUUUUUUUUUUUAUUUAGGUCCUCUCUCUUUUCUUUUGAGAAGUCUGGGUAGGGGUUUAUCAAUUUUGUUUAUUCUUUCAAAAAACCAGCUCUUAGAUUCAUUUAUCUGUUCUACUGGAUUUUUUGUUUGUUUUGUUUUGUUCUUGUUUUCAUUUUUUUUAUUCUAUAUUCUUUAUUUCUAUUCUAAUUUUUAUUAUUUUUCUUCUGAUUUGGGCUUUCUUUGGUGCUGCCUUUCUAGCUCCUUUAGGUGUAAUGUUAGGGUUGUGUAUUUGGGACCUUUCUUGCAUCUCGGGAAAGUACUGAAUUGCAGUGUAUUUUCCUCUUAGGACUACCUUUGCUGCAUCCCAAAGAGUUUAGACUGUCAUAUUUUCAUUUUCAUCUACUUCCAUAUAUUUUUAAAGUUCUUCUUUAAUUUCGGGGUUGAGCCAUUCAUUCUUUAGUACGAUGUUCUUUAUCCUCCAUGUAUUUGUGGGCUUUCUAAACAUUUUUUUUUGUGGUUGAUUUCAUGUUUUAUAGCAUUGUGAUCUGAAAAUAUGCAUGGUAUGAUCUCAAUCUUGUUGAGGGCUGUUUUGUGACACAGUAUGUGUUCUAUUUUGAGAGUGUUCCAUAUGUGCUUGAGAAGAAUGUGUUCUUCUGCUUGAGGAUGAAAUGUUCUGGAUAUAUCUGUUAGUCCAUCUGGUCCAGUGUGUCAUCUGAGCCAUUGUUCCUUAUUGAUUUUCUGCCUAGAUGACCUGUCCAUUUCUGUAAAUCUGCUGGUCUUGUCCAGCAUUAAUCCAGAAGAAGGUAGAACACUGUUCCGCGGUGACAGACACAGUUACAGGUGGCGGCACCGACACGUGGAAUUAUAAAGACAGAAGAGAGCACGUUUAGUUACAGAAAUACAGAACACUUUUAGUACCUCAGAGGAAUCUCUCAUCUUUCCACUCAGUCAGUACUUUUAAAGGUAAGUGCUAUUCUAAUUUCUAUCAUCCUGACAUAAUUUUACUGUUUUUGAGCUUCGAUGUAGUAGAAGCAUACAGUAUUUACUCCUGUGUCUGAUUACUUUCUCUUGACAACAUACUUUAUCUAUGAAAUUCAUCCUUGUUAUUGCAAAAAGUAAUUUUUUGUUGUUCAAUUUAUUUUUCAUUUCAGUAUAGUAUUCCAUUAUAGAAAUAUACUAUGACUUAUUUAUUCAUUCUACUAUCUUUGGAUAUUUGUAUUGUUUCCAGUUUUUGUUAUUAUA